CAUCUCGCUGGACUGUCCGUGACGUGACGGCGAGGCUUAUAAUAUUACACGCUAACUGCAUACACAUACAUAUAUUUACCGAAGAUACGAAACAGUAAUUAUUAUUCCUCUUCGCUAAUUAAUACAGACGAUUAUAUACACACGCACAGAACUACGAGACUCUGACCGUUAAACUAAAAACCCGAAUUAUUUUCCUACAGCCUUAAUAAUAUUAACACGUGCGUUGCCGACCUCCCAGACGUUAUUUAUCUAUAUCGUCGGGGUCGAGUCGUCCGGUUCGCCGUGUAAAGUACCUGCGUGCGCCGUCGUAUAAAACCUUUUUUUUUUUUUUUUUUCUGUUGUAUUAUAUUAUUAUUAUUACUUGGUACAUUGCCAUAACGUUAUAAUGCGUAAUCGAUUAUAUUUUUUUUUUUCUCAUUCCCGUUCCCGGAACGUCAAUUAAUUUUACGGGCCUGAUAUAAUACGGCGUUUUGACCCGACACCGCGAACGGGAUAACAUUGCGCACUGCGCUCUCAUUUCCAUAAUCUGUCGAUUAACGUAUUACCGCCGCCGAACGGUUUGUUACCCAAAAGACUAUUUCCAAAGCGGUUUCCGAGAAUUCG